AGGCUGAGGCAGGAGAAUCUCUUAAACCUGGAAGAUGAAGGCUGUGUUGAGCCGUGAUGAUGUCACUGCACUCCAGCCUGGGUGACAGAGUGAGACCCCAUCUUAA